rnacentral:tmRNA from 1 species
GGGACUGUUUGGUUUCGACAUGUUAAUUUUAUGUCAUAGAGUAAAUAUAGAUAUAAUUUAUGCUUUGAUUCUUAUAUCAUAGCUUAUUAAAAAUAAAUGCAAAAAAUCAUAUAGUUUCUUUUUCUCAAAAUUUAACAUAUAGCUAUUAAUUUAUAAAUAUAUAAUUUUAUUUUGAGUAUCAGAUAUCAUGCCUGUAUAUAUUUCUGAUUAUUAUAAAUUGCAGUACUCCUAAUUUAUUCUUUUACAUUUUAUUUAAAAUUGGGUGAAGCUUAAAAUAAGGUAGAUACUUUGUCCCCUCUGUUUUAUUAUCUAUUAUUUUUCAGAUAGCUCUUUAGAAUGUUAAUUAACAUGGACGUGGGUUCGAAUCCCACCAGUUCCA